UCUUAUCCUAGCAGCUAAACUCGAACUUAAUUGAGUAAAAGAAAGUGAGUUUCAUACUUUACAAGACACUAGCUAGCAGUAGCUAGUGAAUUAAGCUGUUGUGCAUAAUCUAGGAAUCAAUUAAAAAAAAACAAAGAAAGAACCAUGUACAUAUCGACAACAAAAACUAAAGUAUAUGAAACUGAUUCUCUUCGCUGGAGGGCCAGUGUCUGUACUUUGCCCUUCUUCUUAUUGUGGUUCCAGAGAACUCGUCAUUCGUCAUACUCAUGUCACCUUAUUUGGUAACCAUAGAUUCUCCAACUGGAUCCAACCCAACACAAUCCCUACUAUUUAUAGCCACCACGCCAAGCACAAACCAUCCUCCUAGCUGGCUCCAACCAAAACCUCCUCUGCUUUGAUCAAGAGUGGUAAUUAAGAUCGUCGGAAAAAAUGUCUUCAAGCUACCUCGCUUCAAGCUCCUCUUGGUCUCCAUCCGAAAACAAACUGUUUGAGGAGGCCCUAGCCUUGUAUGAUAAGGAAACACCAGAUCGCUGGGAAAAUAUCGCCAGAGCUGUUGGGGGCAAAUCAGCAGAUGAAAUCAAGAGACACUACGAGAUCCUUCUUGAAGAUGUUAAGCACAUCGAGUCUGGUCGUGUUCCCUUUCCUAACUAUAAAUUAUCUGGUGGAAACCCAAGCAAUGGUAAUUAAAACACAGCAGCAGCAGAAUUGAUCUGCAAUAAUGAAGAGACUAGGGCGAGAAGAUUCACCGACGAUUGAUAUCUAGUGAAGUCCAAAGCCCUAAGCUAGCUAGCUCUUUUACAUGGUCAUCUAAGUAGCAAAUAUG